rnacentral:rRNA from 1 species
UUCGGCGUGCUUAACACAUGCAAGUCGAACGGAAAGGCCCUGCUUUUGUGGGGUGCUCGAGUGGCGAACGGGUGAGUAACACGUGAGUAACCUGCCCUUGACUUUGGGAUAACUUCAGGAAACUGGGGCUAAUACCGGAUAGGAGCUCCUGCUGCAUGGUGGGGGUUGGAAAGUUUCGGCGGUUGGGGAUGGACUCGCGGCUUAUCAGCUUGUUGGUGGGGUAGUGGCUUACCAAGGCUUUGACGGGUAGCCGGCCUGAGAGGGUGACCGGCCACAUUGGGACUGAGAUACGGCCCAGACUCCUACGGGAGGCAGCAGUGGGGAAUAUUGCACAAUGGGCGGAAGCCUGAUGCAGCAACGCCGCGUGCGGGAUGACGGCCUUCGGGUUGUAAACCGCUUUCGCCUGUGACGAAGCGUGAGUGACAGUAAUGGGUAAAGAAGCACCGGCUAACUACGUGCCAGCAGCCGCGGUGAUACGUAGGGUGCGAGCGUUGUCCGGAUUUAUUGGGCGUAAAGGGCUCGUAGGUGGUUGAUCGCGUCGGAAGUGUAAUCUUGGGGCUUAACCCUGAGCGUGCUUUCGAUACGGGUUGACUUGAGGAAGGUAGGGGAGAAUGGAAUUCCUGGUGGAGCGGUGGAAUGCGCAGAUAUCAGGAGGAACACCAGUGGCGAAGGCGGUUCUCUGGGCCUUUCCUGACGCUGAGGAGCGAAAGCGUGGGGAGCGAACAGGCUUAGAUACCCUGGUAGUCCACGCUGUAAACGGUGGGUACUAGGUGUGGGGUCCAUUCCACGGGUUCCGUGCCGUAGCUAACGCUUUAAGUACCCCGCCUGGGGAGUACGGCCGCAAGGCUAAAACUCAAAGGAAUUGACGGGGCCCCGCACAAGCGGCGGAGCAUGCGGAUUAAUUCGAUGCAACGCGUAGAACCUUACCUGGGUUUGACAUGGAUCGGGAGUGCUCAGAGAUGGGUGUGCCUCUUUUGGGGUCGGUUCACAGGUGGUGCAUGGCUGUCGUCAGCUCGUGUCGUGAGAUGUUGGGUUAAGUCCCGCAACGAGCGCAACCCUUGUUCACUGUUGCCAGCACGUUAUGGUGGGGACUCAGUGGAGACCGCCGGGGUCAACUCGGAGGAAGGUGGGGAUGACGUCAAGUCAUCAUGCCCCUUAUGUCCAGGGCUUCACGCAUGCUACAAUGGCUGGUACAGAGAGUGGCGAGCCUGUGAGGGUGAGCGAAUCUCGGAAAGCCGGUCUCAGUUCGGAUUGGGGUCUGCAACUCGACCUCAUGAAGUCGGAGUCGCUAGUAAUCGCAGAUCAGCAACGCUGCGGUGAAUACGUUCCCGGGGCUUGUACACACCGCCCGUCAAGUCAUGAAAGUUGGUAACACCCGAAGCCGGUGGCCUAACCGUUGUGGGGGAGCCGUCGAAGGUGGGACUGGUGAUUAGG